CUUGUCCCAGCAGCCGCGGUAAUACGUAGGGUGCGAGCGUUAAUCGGAAUUACUGGGCGUAAAGCGUGCGCAGGCGGAUUGUUAAGCAAGACGUGAGAUCCCCGGGCUUAACCUGGGAAUGGCGUUUUGAACUGGCAGUCUAGAGUGCGUCAGAGGGGGGUGGAAUUCCACGUGUAGCAGUGAAAUGCGUAGAGAUGUGGAGGAACACCGAUGGCGAAGGCAGCCCCCUGGGAUGACACUGACGCUCAUGUACGAAAGCGUGGGUAGCAAACAGGAUUAGAUACCCUGGUAGUCCACGCCCUAAACGAUGUCAACUGGUUGUUGGGGGAGUGAAAUCCCUUAGUAACGAAGCUAACGCGUGAAGUUGACCGCCUGGGGAGUACGGCCGCAAGGUUAAAACUCAAAGGAAUUGACGGGGACCCGCACAAGCGGUGGAUGAUGUGGUUUAAUUCGAUGCAACGCGAAAAACCUUACCCACCUUUGACAUGUAUGGAAGAUCGCAGAGACGCGAUUGUGCUCGAAAGAGAGCCAUAACACAGGUGCUGCAUGGCUGUCGUCAGCUCGUGUCGUGAGAUGUUGGGUUAAGUCCCGCAACGAGCGCAACCCUUGCCAUUAGUUGCUACAUUUAGUUGGGCACUCUAAUGGGACU
rnacentral:rRNA from 1 species